UCCUUCGUGGCAGUUUGGGGACAUCUGUGCCUGUGGCAGCUCCAGGGACAGCUGCUGACCUGCACACGAGCAGGCACGUGAGAAAGCGAUGGCAAGCCAAGUAGGUGAAACUGGGAGGAAUGAAGUCUCUUUGUUCUGAAUGGAGCCACUAAUAGUCAUUGAAAGAAGGUUCAAGACAACAGAAGUCCUCCAACUGAAAAAAAUCAUGUCCUGCUCCCCCGUUGCAGAGCUCACCACUGAAAUCAAUGGGUCUUGAAAAAGAGAAGGUAGUUCUAAAAUAAAACUCCUCAUUUGUCUUAGUGAAGCCCCAAAUAGUGUGUCAUUCUGGGUUACUAUGGAGUUAUCGAAUAAAGGUUGAGAAGCUUGUUCUGCUGGUCAAUAUGUGUGUGUGUGUGUGUGUGUGUGUGUGUGUGUAUGCAGCUCUCAGCCAUGGCUGUGUGUCUCCUGGAGGCUCCCCUCCAAAACCUGCAUUCAUCUCCUGUGAAGUUUUCUAAGGAACUGAGCUUCUGAGACUAGUACAAAUAAGGUGUAUGUGCUCAGGACAAUUGGAUGCUCCCUUUCUGUUUCUGCCACAAGGUUAUGAUAACCUCUCUUUUCACAUCUUUGCUUUAUAUCAGACUGCUAACAAAUUACAAUAAUAAUUUUUUAAAAAGUAUCAGGUGGAACAGCUUUAAAUGGAAAUAAACAGAUAUGACUAAAUCCUUUAGGCUGUUUGGGAUGCCUCAAGUGAUUUAGUUUGGCUGUAUCUGUACGUUAAAAGAUAUGAGGGCACUGAGGUUCAUUACUUAUCCUAUUAAAACAUUAGAAGAGUCCCUGGCGUGGGAUUGCCUCAGACCAGACAGAGCUAUCCUGCACGGUCCCCAGGAAUGGCUCAGUAGCUAGCACGGGGUGUGGAGCCUUUCCCAUCAGCAGUAUGGACACGGCCACCCUGGUUUGGAGGGUAAGAGGGCUGAAAAUCUUGGAGCACCAAGAUGCAGCAGUGCCAGGACAUGUCAUUUAAUAGUGCAGAUGUGGCAAAGUGCUCCAUGACAGGUCUCUACUGUGACAAUAAAGAGCUAAAACCCUGACAGAUGUUUUCCAGUCAGGAGUCUGUAUUGGAUGAAGGCAUGUUAGGGGACCACAUGAGCCUGAUCUCUAUGUGGACACCUUCCCGACAAGUCUGUCCUGGUUGUCUGAGGGUGAUCUGCAAAUGCAGAUUUUGGGGGUGGCAAGCUCCCAGUCUUGUCUAAAACCAUCUCCAUCUUUAUUUGGCUUGGGAUAGGAAUGGUGGGGAGGGAGCCCUAGAGGUGCCACCAAGCCCCUCCUUGGGCACUCCUGGAGAGGAGAUGCUCCUCCCCCAGUCAUAAGUGGGGAGGGUGCAGAUCCCAUCCCACCCAUGCCAUAACUGUAGGUCACAGUUGGGAAGGCCACGGGGUUGGGCUUAGCUCAGUGCUAUGGGGAAAUCCCAAGAAAAGCCACUUGCAUUUUGCUUUAUACAGUGAGAGAAGAGUCUGUGAGGGGAGAGCAGUGGGUGAUUGGCACCAUUUUUAGGCUUUCUGGGACAGAAAUAGUGGAAGCAGUAGUGAGGGCUGAUGCCCUGAGGCUGACUCCUGUGGGAUGGAAAGACACCAGCCAAGUGUAAGGAGUCAACUAAUGAGUGUGGAGGUCUGGAAGGCCAUAGUGCCUCUCCUCCACCUGUGGGAAGAGACAGAGGGGACAAAUAUCUGAACACACUUUGCUUUUAUAAGCUUUGAAGCUGGCAGCUUCCCUUCAAACCAUUUUCUUGCAGGGGAAGGUGUGUGCCAGAGAGGUCCAUGUCACCGUUCAGAUGGUAGCAGGGUUAAAAUGGGCCCUCUAGGGAAUUUCUGCAUUUUGGGGUGACUUAAAACUGAAUGUAGCAAGUGGUGAAAGGAGGAAAGCCACUUCCCGGCCUUUGGCUGGGGAUCUUGCAGCCUGUCCUGAAAGAGAAGGGAAGAGAAAUCCAAGGACUUUAUCCAUCACCCCAGCGCUGAAAAUAAAUGAUAGAGUGCAAAGUGCUGUAUCCCUCGGGGGAUCUAAGAUGACAUGUUCCUCCUCUUGAUUCCCAGCUAGGUCUCGCCCUCUGGGUCCCCCUCAGGAGGGCACGCCAAGGUCAGCCCAGGGUUCAGGCUCCUUUGUGGGUGCUGGGGCUGCAGGGUGGCCUUGGGGAGGGGACAGGGGAGAGGACAGGUCAAAGUUUGGCAGCUUCUGCACCCCACAGUGCCCUUUCCUUUUGGCCUCCCACGCCUCCAUCCCCACCUCCAGCAAACACAUUUAGAUCAUCUCCUGGAAAAGAGAGAAAUAACAUUAAUAUAAAAAAAGCAGUGCCUGGCAGUGCUUAGAGGCAGGUAGAGACAUCAUUGGGGAGUAUUACACACUCCCUCACGGUAUUACCCCUCCAUCAGGCAGGGGUAACUGGAUCUGCGACAGAGCCUGAUCCUCCCAAGCCUUUAAUUGGAUGCGUGAAAGGUCCAAAAUGCAGCUCACUCUCAUGCUUCCACCAGCUAUGAGAUGCAGUGUCUUCUUGUUACACAAGGCCACUUCCCAAUGAAGCUGGCCUCCUUUCUAACCUCUGAUACCACCCGGCUGCCAGGCCAGCAAGCUGAGGCAGACUCUUCGUAAAGGAACCUUCCCAGCCAAGCGGGGUGCUGGUGGCAGCAAAAUAUUCAAUAGCUUUCCAGACACCCACUCUUUUCUCUACACAGAAAAUGCCAUAGUUAGAUGAGGGGCAAAAGGUGGUGGCAGAACAAUUAGGGAACAGUCGUUCUUUUCGGUGGGAUCGGGCAGUGGGACAGGAACGGGACAAGCGCUCUGCAAGGCUUGUGCAAACUGGAGCGCGAAGAUCGGUGUGUGGGGAGCAUCCGCGUGUGCCAGGCAGCAGCUGGGGCAGUGGUCCCGGCCUGGGAAGGCCGGUGUGGUUUUUCCAAGGCUCCUGCAUCCCCCAGCCCUCCCUCCACACCGGUUUCCACCACAAACAGCAGCAGCCCUCCUCUGCAGCGCCGGGGCUGGGACAAUGCACCCCUGAUAAGUGGGCCUUCUGUCCCCAGCUGCACCGGGGCCAGGCUCUCCCCAACCUGCAAGCCUUUUGCUUUCUUUUUUUUUUUUUUUUUUUUUUUUUUUUUUCUCUUGCAAAAUCAAUUUGCGGACAGCUCACUCAUUUUUUCCCCUUGCAAACUUAUUAGCUAUUCAGCCCCGGCGAGCACUCGUAAGCAUCCUUUGUCCCAGGGAGGGCUGGAGACCCCUUCAUUAGCAGUGAUUACUCUGAGCAGUUUGACAGCCUCCCAGCCCGCUUACAAGACUUUCCCAUUCAGCCCUGCCCGGGGCUGCCCCGCUUCUCAAAAGAAACGGAAAUAUUCAAACAUUUCUCCCCCCCUCCCCGCCCCAGCUGAAGAGAGGAAAAGCUGUUUCUCUUCUCCGCCCUCCCCAUUCACUUCACUUUUGAUACAAUAUUUUCCUUCUUUGUUAAACCGGAGAGAGAGGGGUCAAGGCAGACUUUUUAGUGACCCUUUUCUGAGCGUUUUGUUUAAUGUAAAUACAAGCUCCCCACCUCUUCCUCGAUUAUUAUUAUUAUUAUUUUCAAAACAGCCGAUGGUUCGGGAGGGCGAUGGCUUGGGCUGAUCUUUAGGGGAAAAAGAAAUGCUGAAAAUGCCAGGGGCAGGGCAUUCUCUUUCAAUGCGGGAAGGGAAAGGGCAGAAGGAAAAUAAAAGGGGGGUGGGGGGGUGUGAAGCGCGAUUUUCUGCCAUGGGUCUUCUCGGUACAGCCAAACGCGGGCGGCGCAGCCCCGGUGGUGAAUAAGCGGGGCUGGGGGAUGCUCAGCUCUCCCGGUCCUCCCCCACCAAGCAAGCCCGGGGAGCGGGGCUGCUCUUCUCGGGGUGGCUCCGUGCUCGCCCCCUCCCCGGCCGCCGUUUCGGAAGGGGCUGAUUUGUGCCCCCUCUGCGGCUGGGGGCACGGAGCUUGGCGGGAGGGUCCCUCCAUGGCCCACUCGGGAGAGACAGCGUCCUUCAGUCCGCUAAAACGCUUUGGAGAAAUAUAUAAUGUUCACACCGCUGCCUAUUGUCCAAAUUCCAGCUUUUUUAGUUAAAAAGAAAUCCCACCGCGCCUAUGUUCAUAUAAUUCUCCACCUCCCUAUAUGUCUUUUCGAAAGCUUAAUUCCCCACAACAAGCCCUACUACUCUGCCCGCAGAAGCCGAUGGAGAAAUCGCCAUCCGCCUCACCGACUCCCGGGGAAGGAAAGAGAGAACACGGUGUGUUUCAGACGAUUCCGUUUUGAGAACGAAAAACCGCUUUUGCUCCCCAAAAAACCUCGUGGGUGGGAAGCGCUGCCCCCCAACGAACCCACCACCCCCAAAACCAAGGCAACCCCCCCACACACACCUCGUUUUUGGUUUGAGCUGCAAAGCCGGGCUCCCCUUGCACGGCUCUGCCUAGGGUGAACCCGGUGGGGUUUUAAGAGGCAACAAACCCGGCGCAGGGUUGGGGUGCAAGACACGCUCCCCCCCUCCCCUCCUCGGUAGGUACCCCCAAAGGGAGCUGUAAAACCCCGCGCUGCCUCGGCUCCCCACCCUUGUCCUCCGGCCGCUCCCGCACUCGCAAAACACGGCUUAUUUGCCUCCCCCCGACGCCCUAAAUUACAUCCCGCCAAGGAGAUAGCUGCUUGGAAACGGGCUUUAAAAAACAGCUGAUAAAUACCUGCUGCCUGCCCCGUCCCUGGGAUGGUCUGUGAGGAAAACCAAGGCUCAUGCACGGGGGUGAAACGCGGAUUUAGACAUCGGCGGUGCCAAAAAAGCUUUAAACGCGGAUUUAGGCAGAGGGGGGAAAAGCCGCUGCCGAGAAGCGAAUAUACCCCCCGCUAAAAGGCGGCAGGGCUGAACGAAUCCAUCGCGGAGCUGAUGCGGCCGCCGAGCCCCCCCGGCCGGCUCCGCAGGUCCGCCGGGGCCGGGGGGGCCGGGGCGGUCCCGGCAGCCGCGGCGGGUCAGCUUUGCCCGGCUCCGCUCCCCCCGGGCCGGGCUUCGGCGGCUCCACAAAACGAGCCGAGCAAUCAGCUUACCGGGGAGGCACCUCUCGGAGGACAGGGAGUGGAGGCGAUGAGACCGAGCAGACAAAAAAAGCACAGCUCAGGCGAUUUAAAGAUCAAUGUCAAAUUGUAUAAUAUAAAAUCCUUCUGCUGGGGGAAAAAGCUUAGCGCGCUCCUUGGACCUGGCGUUUGGUCUCCUCCAGCAAAACCGCCGCAAAACAACGCGAGGGAGGCGGGUGGUGGGGUCAGACCCUGGUACAUCGCAGGGGCUGGGACUGGGGGGAUUUCGCCCCCGUUCCGGCCCUUCCUGCGCACAGAGGGCUGUUAAUUCUUCAUCUUCUCCUUGCAUUUGCCAGGUGAGGGAGGAAGCUUGGCUUCCCCGGCUGUGCUGUCCCCAACCAUUCGUCUCCUUUUUUUUUUUUUUUUUUUUUUUUUUUUUUUUUUUCCCUUUCUCAUUAUUCCUUGUCCCUGUCCGAAAAUUCUCCUCCGGAUUCCCGUCCCCGGGCACACGCAUCCUCCGCCAGCCCCGGCCCCGCUCCCCUCGCCUCAUCCCGGCUCCCCCCGGGAGCAAAGACAUCACCCCCGGGCCCGGAGACCCAGUUAUUUCGGAUCCUGCCGAGCUGAUGCUGAAAUACCCGUGGCCUCGGAGAUCUGCUCUGCGUAAACUGGCGGGCUUGAGACCGACACCGUCAUUUCAAAGCAGAUGCGAGGGUCGUUCACCAAAUAUUUUAUUAUGGUUUUAGGCUGCUUCAUACAGUUUCGUCCUGCACAUGCUCUACAAGUCACCUGUGCACAUAGAGAACAAGCCAAAAAUAAUAAUUAAUAAUAAUAAUAAUAAUAAUAGAAAAAAUCUACCAUAGCAAUCCCUUAAAUAAGUAAAUAAACAUUAUAUAUAUAUAUAU